AUGCAGAGAAAUUCAGUUUUGUUCAGCCGCCGCUGCAGAACUCGGAUCAGAGAUUCACGUCACGUGGGAGAACUGAACUGAAGCUUCGAAGAGACGACUUACAAGAGCCCCUCCUCUCUGAACAUGCCUUCCUAGACCUACGACACCAUUACAGCAUUAUUCCCUUGACUUUUGGUCAUAGGAACAGCCCAGAUGACUUCUGGUCAUAUAAAGAGAAUUUUAUAUUUUGGAAAAUUGCUACUGAGAACACAGAUAUUAAGGGAUCAAUUCUUGAAAUUAAGAGCUAACUAGGAUAAAGCUUGUCACUUCUGAGCAACCACAAAAAAACAGCACAAAAAUCUACUUAAGAGAGGAGAUGAAAUGGAUUACAAAACGACUACGUUAGCACAAAGAGGGCAGAAAAGGAGAAACAGAAUGAAGAAUGGAUAGAACAAACAGAAAUCAAGUACGUGGAUGUAAGAACUGGACGCACACUGAAACAAAUGAAUUGGAUACACAAGUACAUCCAGAAAAUAAGUAUUUCAAAUGACUGAAACAGUAUUUUGCCUGUAUACCAACAACAGAAUAUAAUCCAAAGACAAAUAUGGCAGCAAAGAAAUGUUUUAUUUCAUUAAUCAAUCUUAAUUUUACUAACAGUACUUUAUUAUUAAUUUGUAGGUAUGUAUCUGGUAGGUUAAAGCAAAUAAGUAAAUACUUCAGUACUGUUAAGGCCAAGAUUUUUCA